rnacentral:rRNA from 1 species
UACGUAGGGGGCAAGCGUUGUCCGGAUUUACUGGGCGUAAAGAGCGUGUAGGCGGCCAAACAGGUCCGUUGUGAAAACUGGAGGCUCAACCUCCAGACGGCGACGGAAACCGUGUGGCUAGAGUCCGGAAGAGGAGAGUGGAAUUCCUGGUGUAGCGGUGAAAUGCGCAGAUAUCAGGAAGAACACCAAUGGCGAAGGCAGCUCUCUGGGACGGUACUGACGCUGAGACGCGAAAGCGUGGGGAGCGAACAGG